ACAACUAUGACCAUUAAUCCAAAAAUUUCACCUGCAGAUCUAUUACAAAACUCUUGAAAUCACUGGAAACGUCAAUCCUAUUUUAUUUCACAAAAUCCAAGUCAUCCGAAAACAAACUUGACUUUGUAAAGCCCUUAUAAGGUCAUAACAAAUCCAAAUCACCCAAAACUAAUGCUUAUAGAAAUCCUAUCUAGUUUGCUAUCAAACCCCAUUCUUUGAUUUGCAAAAGAACCUUGGAAUUGUCGUUGAGACUCAAUUUUGUGCCUCAGGGUCUGAUUUCGACCUUGAUUCAUAGCCCACCUUCUCUGGGUAUCAAUAUCUAGUUUUUCAAAGUAAAUUGUGCUAGAAUUUAUUCUUAUUUUCUUUCUAAAG
rnacentral:lncRNA from 1 species